rnacentral:piRNA from 1 species
UACAAUUUGGAGUCAAAACGUUCCC